UAGUCAUGAGUUUGACCCUGCCUCAGGAUUAGAUAGGCCUGGUAGCUACCUUGGCGUCGAGCGGCGGACGGGUGAGUAAUGCCUGGGAAUUUGCCCAGUUGUGGGGGAUAACCAUUGGAAACGAUGGCUAAUACCGCAUAAACCCUACGGGGAAAAGGGGAGGCUCUUCGGACUUCUCGCAAUUGGAUAAGCCCAGGUGGGAUUAGCUAGUAGGUGAGGUAAAGGCUCACCUAGGCGACGAUCCCUAGCUGUUCUGAGAGGAUGAUCAGCCACACUGGAACUGAGACACGGUCCAGACUCCUACGGGAGGCAGCAGUGGGGAAUAUUGCACAAUGGGGGAAACCCUGAUGCAGCCAUGCCGCGUGUGUGAAGAAGGCCUUCGGGUUGUAAAGCACUUUCAGCGAGGAGGAAAGGUUAGUAGUUAAUACCUGCUAGCUGUGACGUUACUCGCAGAAGAAGCACCGGCUAACUCCGUGCCAGCAGCCGCGGUAAUACGGAGGGUGCGAGCGUUAAUCGGAAUUACUGGGCGUAAAGCGUGCGCAGGCGGUUUGCUAAGUCAGAUGUGAAAGCCCCGGGCUCAACCUGGGAAUCGCAUUUGAAACUGGCAAACUAGAGUCUUGUAGAGGGGGGUAGAAUUUCAGGUGUAGCGGUGAAAUGCGUAGAGAUCUGAAGGAAUACCGGUGCUGAGUUUCGUCCUGGCUCACAAUUAGAUACCCUGGUACUCCUGAGUUUGA
rnacentral:rRNA from 1 species